rnacentral:rRNA from 1 species
UACAGAGGGGGCAAGCGUUAUUCGGAAUUAUUGGGCGUAAAGGGCGCGUAGGCGGCUUGGCAAGUGGAAGGUGAAAUCCCUCGGCUUAACCGAGGAACUGCCCUCCAAACUGCUUUGCUUGAGGCCGGGAGAGGUAAGUGGAAUUCCCAGUGUAGCGGUGAAAUGCGUAGAUAUUGGGAAGAACACCCGUGGCGAGGGCGGCUCUCUGGGACGGUACUGACGCUGAGACGCGAAAGCGUGGGGAGCGAACAGG